rnacentral:rRNA from 1 species
AGGAACGCUGGCGGCGUGCCUAAUACAUGCAAGUCGAGCGAACGGACGAGAAGCUUGCUUCUCUGAUGUUAGCGGCGGACGGGUGAGUAACACGUGGAUAACCUACCUAUAAGACUGGGAUAACUUCGGGAAACCGGAGCUAAUACCGGAUAAUAUUUUGAACCGCAUGGUUCAAAAGUGAAAGACGGUCUUGCUGUCACUUAUAGAUGGAUCCGCGCUGCAUUAGCUAGUUGGUAAGGUAACGGCUUACCAAGGCAACGAUGCAUAGCCGACCUGAGAGGGUGAUCGGCCACACUGGAACUGAGACACGGUCCAGACUCCUACGGGAGGCAGCAGUAGGGAAUCUUCCGCAAUGGGCGAAAGCCUGACGGAGCAACGCCGCGUGAGUGAUGAAGGUCUUCGGAUCGUAAAACUCUGUUAUUAGGGAAGAACAUAUGUGUAAGUAACUGUGCACAUCUUGGCGGUACCUAAUCAGAAAGCCACGGCUAACUACGUG